CCUAGGCUGGCGGAGAGGCGCACCUGUCUGAGAUGCUUAUAGAUUUGAUUAGAUAACAUUUGUCAGCUGCAUCAGCCGCAGGUAACUCCUGACGAGAAUUGUAUUUCCCUGUAGGUAGUGGAACCAAGCGAUGUUCCAGAUUUCAUGGGGUUGCCAAAGAGGCUUGCAGGGGCGUCAUGCCUAAGAGGCUGUACAACAGUUGUCAAGAAUUGCUUCAUGUGAUUAUGGAGGCUGACAAGUCCCAAGACUCACAGUUGGUAAGCUGGACACCCAAGAAAGCUGGUGCUGCACAUAUUACCAGUGAUGAGUUCCAGUCUGAAUCUGAAGGCCUGAGAACCAGGACAGUUGAUGGUGUAAGUUCCAGUCCAAGGUCAGGAGAAGCCUAAUGUUCUAACGUAACAUCACGCAGCCUUUUUGUUCUAUUCAUGUUUCAAAGUAAUUGGAUGAGACCCAACCACAUGAGGGAGGCCAGUCUGCUUUACUGAGUCUACCAAUUAAAAUCUAAUCUUAUCCAGAAACACCUUUUAGACACAUCCACAGUGACAUUUGACCAAAUAUCUGAGCACUCAAAGGCUUAGGCAAGUCGACACGUAAAAUUAAUGAUCACAAGGAGGGAGAAUGGAUUCAACAGAUAUUUAAAAGUAUUCAUAAUAGAAAAGUAUUUAUUGUAUUUAUUUAUGUGGCAGGCAGUAUUCUGAGUGCUUUCGUUGUUGUAUCAGUGAAAACACUAGUUAGGUAAGAAAAGUGUUGCCUCUGUGAGGUGGUUACUAUUAUUGUCCUCAUUUAGCAGAUGAGAAAACAGGGGCAGAGAAAAAUUUACAUAAUUUCCUGGCACUCAUGCAAUUGAUAAGUAUCUGAACUGGGAUUCGAACCCAAACUAACUCAGAGUUUAAGCUCUUAACUGCUAUUCUAGAGUCCUCCUUGGGGACAGGUGAUUGUAGGUAGAAAAAAAGAAAUAUGGGGAAAGGCAUGCUGAAUUGAAAAAAAAAAAACAAAACACCUUUCUAAAUGAAACUGAGAACCACAUCUUCUAGUACUAAUUGUAGGUAGAGAACUCUGCUAAAUAUUUUGCAAGCAUUAUCCAAUUUAAUGUUACAAACCACACUGGACAUGAGAAGCCAUUAUAUCCAUUUUAUAGCAGAGAAAACUGGCUGGGUUGGAAGUGCAGCUGGGGCAUUGUCGAUACUGUGAUCUUAGAUAUAUUCAUCUGUCAGACUCUAGCUGAUUCCAAACUCCUUGUUCAUUCUAUUAGGUUGUGCUACGAGAAAAAAUUUUGUAAGCUUUAAAAGUGGUAAGUCAACUCAAGGCACAGCCAAUAAACAUUUAUAUGAUUGUACAUGAUUUACCUAACUCUGCAGAGGGAGCCAGAUUUCCUUUAGUGCAGUAACAAAGAAUGGCUCCUGCAUAUCCCCAGCAAUUCUCAUGAAAAGGUGGAUAUUAUAUUCUCUUGAAUAGAAAGGCAUAUUUUUCUCUUAGUCCUAUUACUGGCAACUUCUAAAUUUAAUAACAAAAUGCUCACCUACAAAUAAGAAGAAUAAAAGCUUAACUUGUCACAGGGGGAAAAAAAGUUCUAUGAUGUAACAGACCCAGGAAUAAGUGAUAUUCCUGGGAAGGUCACUGCCUGAGGCUGCUUGAUAAACUCCAGCCCUUUCCUGUAUCCACUGUUUAAUGUUUAAGCUUUGGAUGCUAAGAGUGGUUAUAAUAAACUGUCCAACAGCUUCUCACUUAGACUUCCCAAGAAGGUGACAAAAUAAAAUUGGUGUAAAGCUGUCAAAAGAGAGGCUCAUCACUGAAGUAUAUUUUGCUCACUCACCCAUUUGAAAGCAAGUAUUUCCUUUAAUCAACUCUUUAGAGAAUUUAACCAGUGGAACACCAAGAGCCUCCAAUGAACGUUUCCCAUCUAAAUUCUUUUUAAGAAAAAUGCAGGCAAAUUCCUGAGUUGACCUUGUUCUGAUAAGUCUCCUUGAGGUAAGGUCGUCAUAAUUCUCACCCACAUUUUUCCACUGUCUUGUCAGAUGAAUCCGUGAAAUUCACAGAUUAACCCAAGUCCCUCACUCAGACAUUCUAAAUGCACCAAAUGUUCAAGUGUAACAAAAAAUUACACAUCUGGUAAUUCUGCAUGUUAUUUAUAGGCUUUCUGAUAGAGGCGUAAUUGAUUCAGAAAUGUAAUUUACAGCCUGGCAUCUCCGUUUCAAAGCUUCAAUUCUGUGACAUCCACCAAGAGAGUAAUCUCACUUUUGUGAGGAAGCAAAGAUAAUAAUUGUAAAGAAUUUUUGUAUGAUAGCCUCAUGCUUUUGCAUAAAGUUUUUCUUGCUCCUUGUUUUUCAUUUGCAAAGUGGGCAAUAUUCAUGUCAGCCACACACUUUUAAUUCCACAGAAUGGUUUAUGAAGACAUAAAUGGAGCAUAAAGUUGCUCAACAAACCCUGGGGUGAUGGCAAAUGGCUAAGGCAAGUUUCUCUUGCCCUCUAGUUUUAAUUGCAACCCUCAUAAGAAAACACUCUCUAAUUUAACUAGGUAAUCGUUCUCUUCAAAGAGAACAUUUGUUAUUUAGUGCCAUUUCGAAAA
rnacentral:lncRNA from 1 species